UCGAGACCGAACGAACGGACGAUCGCGAACGUGUUACACCAUACUUACUUACUUACGACUCCGUCUCGUCCCGUCGCUCCUUGCGGCGUGGCGAGACAGAGGAAACGAAACCCCGGCGCAGUGGGCGCCAAGGAACACUUCUUGGAAGCGUUGUCGCGACCCUCUCCACCUCCCUUUCUGUCACAUGAUAGGGAGGGAGGGAGGAGGAGGAACGCGGGCGUGGAUAUACAUAUCGUAUUCUGUACGACUCGCGGCAACGAAUAUCUAGGCUCUCGGAUCGAUGAAGAACGUAGCGAAAUGCGAUACUUGGUAUUAAUUGCAGAAUCCCGUGAACCAUCAAGUCUUUGAACGCAAGUUGCGCCCGAGGCCAUCCGGUCGAGGGCACGCCUGCCUGGGCGUCAUGCCUCCCGUCGCUCCCCACAGUGCUCCGUGCGUGGCGGGACGAAGUGUCGGCCGUCGUCGGGCCUGGCGCGGCGAAUGGUGGACGAAUACAUCGUGUUGUUUGUGCCUACUCUCCGCGUCCUUGCCCUCAACAAUGCGACGUGCCGUCGUCGGACCCCUCACCACGGACCCUUCCGUCUUCCGAAUACGAAGAAGAAGAAGAAGGAACCGUCCUCGGAACG
rnacentral:misc_RNA from 1 species